rnacentral:rRNA from 1 species
UACGAAGGGGGCUAGCGUUGUUCGGAUUUACUGGGCGUAAAGCGCACGUAGGCGGAUUGUUAAGUCAGGGGUGAAAUCCCGGAGCUCAACUCCGGAACUGCCUUUGAUACUGGCAAUCUUGAGACUGGAAGAGGUUAGUGGAAUUCCCAGUGUAGAGGUGAAAUUCGUAGAUAUUGGGAAGAACACCAGUGGCGAAGGCGGCUAACUGGUCCAGUACUGACGCUGAGGUGCGAAAGCGUGGGGAGCGAACAGG